CUUCGUUCCAAGGGCGUUCCGACUCGUCUGCCCUUGAGCUCUGCGAAAGCGGGUGGCGUUUGCCGUUCCUGAGCGCACAAGAGCUUCCACCGAAGGCGAUGAUGCCCGGAAGGCAGCAGUCCUACCGUUCUCCCAUCACCGAUGGUUCUCGCUAAGCCGCGUCCCUCAACACAGCAUCCAAACGCUCUUUGAACACCACCAGGGUCGGUGACUCCACCACCUCUCUGGGCAGCCCAUUGCAGUGCCUGACCACCCUUUCAGACAAGUAGUAUUUCCUAACGUCCAGCCUGAACCUUCCGUGGUGCAGCUUGAAGCCAUUCCCUCUAACUGUCACACGAGAGAAGAGGCUGACCCCCAGCUCACCACAGCCUCCCUUUCGGGUAGUUACAGAGAGCAAUGAGGUCUCCCCUGAGCCUCCUCUUCUCUAGGCUGAGCAAUCCCAGCUCCUUCAACCACUCUUCAUAAGGCCUGUGCUCCAGAGCCCUCACCAGCUUUGUUGCCCUCCUCUGGACGCGCUCCAGGGCCUCGAUGUCUUUCUUACCGUGAGGGGCCCAAAACUGGACAGGUACGGAUGCCACGAUGCCAGCCUGGGUUUGGUGAGGCCUGGAGUGUGAUCAAAAUUUUGGGAACGCAGUGACAGGUGCAGACACCUCUCGGAGUGUGAUUCCCAACCUCCUGUCUUAAUGCAAAUCUCAAGAACACGAGCCAUGUCACCAAACCACUGCUCACAGCUGUUUGCUGAACCUGACACAUUCUACUCCCCAGUCCUGCAGAUCCAUCACUUAUGGAGAAGGACAGAUGCAAGGGUGCGUUUGGGACUGCCUUCAUGCUCCCCGAUGUGCCCCAGAGAGCAAGGCAGGGAAGGCCACAAGACCACGAUGCCAAAGCAGACAGAAGACCUUCAGAAAUCUG
rnacentral:lncRNA from 1 species